rnacentral:hammerhead_ribozyme from 1 species
UCACUGCUGAGGAGUCCCACAAUUGGACGAAACUGUUGUCCAGUGG